rnacentral:rRNA from 1 species
CCUACGGGAGGCAGCAGUAGGGAAUAUUGCACAAUGGGGGAAACCCUGAAGCAGCAACGCCGCGUGGAGGAUGACGGUUUUAGGAUUGUCAACUCCUUUUGUGAGAGAAGAUAAUGACGGUAUCUCACGAAUAAGCACCGGCUAACUCCGUGCCAGCAGCCGCGGUAAUACGGAGGUUGCGAGCGUUAUCCGGAUUUAUUGGGUGUAAAGGGUGCGCAGGCGGAGGUGCAAGUCAGCGGUCAAAUUGCGGGGCUCAACCCCGUACUGCCGUUGAUACUGCAUCCCUUGAGUGCGCGAGAAGUAUGCGGAAUGCGAGGUGUAGCGGUGAAAUGCAUAGAUAUCAGGCAGAACACCAAUUGCGAAGGCAGCAUACCGGCGCUAAACUGACGCUGAGGCACGAAAGUGUGGGUAGCGAACAGGAUUAGAUACCCCAGUAGUC